rnacentral:rRNA from 1 species
GACGAACGCUGGCGGCGUGCUUAACACAUGCAAGUCGAACGGAAAGGCCUGCUUUCCCUUGUGGAUUGCGGGUACUCGAGUGGCGAACGGGUGAGUAACACGUGAGUGAUCUGCCCCCAACUUGGGUAUAAGCCUGGGAAACUGGAUCUAAUUCCCGAUAGGACUGCAGGGUGGUGCCUGUGGUGGAAAACGAUUUUCUAGUGGUUGGGGAUGAGCUCGCGGCCUAUCAGCUUGUUGGUGGGGUAAUGGCCUACCAAGGCGGCGACGGGUAGCCGGCCUGAGAGGGUGGACGGCCACAUUGGGACUGAGAUACGGCCCAGACUCCUACGGGAGGCAGCAGUGGGGAAGAUUGCACAAUGGGCGGAAGCCUGAUGCAGCGACGCCGCGUGGGGGAUGACGGCCUUCGGGUUGUAAACUCCUUUCGACCGCGAGGAAGCCACCUGGUUGGAAGGGUGGUGACGGUAGUGGUAGAAGAAGCACCGGCUAACUACGUG